rnacentral:rRNA from 1 species
GAUGAACGCUGGCGGCGUGCCUAAUACAUGCAAGUAGAACGCUGAAGGAGGAGCUUGCUCUUCUGGAUGAGUUGCGAACGGGUGAGUAACGCGUAGGUAACCUGCCUGGUAGCGGGGGAUAACUAUUGGAAACGAUAGCUAAUACCGCAUGACAACAGUUAUUGCAUGAUAACUGUUUAAAAGGGGCAACCGCUCCACUACCAGAUGGACCUGCGUUGUAUUAGCUAGUUGGUGAGGUAACGGCUCACCAAGGCGACGAUACAUAGCCGACCUGAGAGGGUGAUCGGCCAAACUGGGAAUGAGACACGGCCCAGACUCCUACGGGAGGCAGCAGUAGGGAAUCUUCGGCAAUGGACGGAAGUCUGACCGAGCAACGCCGCGUGAGUGAAGAAGGUUUUCGGAUCGUAAAGCUCUGUUGUAAGAGAAGAACGAGUGUGAGAGUGGAAAGUUCACACUGUGACGGUAUCUUACCAGAAAGGGACGGCUAACUACGUG